AGCGAACGCUGGCGGCAGGCUUAACACAUGCAAGUCGAGCGGGUGUAGCAAUACAUCAGCGGCAGACGGGUAAGUAACGCGUGGGAACGUACCUUUUGGUUCGGAACAACACAGGGAAACUUGUGCUAAUACCGGAUAAGCCCUUACGGGGAAAGAUUUAUCGCCGAAAGAUCGGCCCGCGUCUGAUUAGCUAGUUGGUAGGGUAACGGCCUACCAAGGCGACGAUCAGUAGCUGGUCUGAGAGGAUGAUCAGCCACAUUGGGACUGAGACACGGCCCAAACUCCUACGGGAGGCAGCAGUGGGGAAUCUUGGACAAUGGGGGCAACCCUGAUCCAGCCAUGCCGCGUGAGUGAUGAAGGCCCUAGGGUUGUAAAGCUCUUUUGUGCGGGAAGAUAAUGACGGUACCGCAAGAAUAAGCCCCGGCUAACUUCGUGCCAGCAGCCGCCGUAAUAC
rnacentral:rRNA from 1 species